rnacentral:lncRNA from 10 species
CUGGCCCCUGGACUGUGCCCUGAAACACAGCUUAAAACAAAUGAACAGUAAUCCCAGAGAUCCUGAGAUGAGAAAAGGGUGUUUGACUUAUUCAAAGAAGACCAAGGAAGCCCAAAGACCAGAGAAGAGUGCAGGAAAGGGGCGGCGGUCUGAGAUGCAGUCAGAGCAGUGGCAAGCCCCCAGAGUCUGUGGCAAAGACUUCAGGUUUCAUCCUGAAGAGGAAGACAGGUCUUUGGAGAGUUUUGAUCAAGGAAGUGAGAUGAAAUAUCUUAGGCUUACAAAGAACUACUCUGACAUCUAAAUGGAAAAUGGACUGAUGAAGCAAAAGAAGCCACAAGGAAGCCAGUUCAGAGGCUAUUGAAAUGCUCCAGAUACUCAGAGAGUGAGAGCCUUCAGAUUUGGGCCGCUGUGGUUCGUCUUCUGCCUGGGAACUGGAUAAAAACAUCAGUGAAUACCCCAAAGAUUUUCAAAAAUGCUUGUUGAUAAAAUGAAGUCAGAAUGUGAGAUGAGCCCUUCCACCUGAGUGAUGUUGGUCUUGGCUGUGUGAUUUGCUUUGGCUGAUGAUAAGUUGAUGGAAGUGAUAGUAAGACAAUGCUGAGCCUCAUCCUCGGAAGUAUCUCUGCCUUCACCUGGCUUUGUGCACCACUGCCCUGGCUUUGAGAAGAACAUGAGCCCAGUAAAUUGUUAGUCCAGGAAGAAUGAGAGCCCUAUAUUAGGUAUUGAGGGUUCA